GUGUCAGCAGCCGCGGUAAUACCGGCAGCCCAAGUGAUGGCCGAUCUUAUUGGGCCUAAGCGUCCGUAGCUGGCCACGCAAGUCCAUCGGGAAAUCCACCUGCCCAACAGGUGGGCGCCCGGUAGAAACUGCGUGGCUUGGGACCGGAAGGCGCGACGGGUACGUCCGGGGUAGGAGUGAAAUCCCGUAAUCCUGGACGGACCGCCGGUGGCGAAAGCGCCUCAGGAGAACGGAUCCGACAGUGAGGGACGAAAGCCAGGGUCUCGAACCGGAUUAGAUACCCCCGUAGUCC
rnacentral:rRNA from 1 species